AGAAUAUAAGAACCCGUCUCUUAACUUUUAACUAAAAAUGCUAAGAACCAGUUCUUAAAUAAGAGUUUAAGAGCUGGUUCUUAACCUUUUUAGUUAAAAGUUAAGAGACGGGUUCUUAUAUUCC
rfam:Brassica napus, WGS project CCCW01000000 data, contig: 14244